AUUGAACGCUGGCGGCAGGCCUAACACAUGCAAGUCGAGCGGAUGAAGGGAGCUUGCUCCUGGAUUCAGCGGCGGACGGGUGAGUAAUGCCUAGGAAUCUGCCUGGUAGUGGGGGAUAACGUCCGGAAACGGGCGCUAAUACCGCAUACGUCCUGAGGGAGAAAGUGGGGGAUCUUCGGACCUCACGCUAUCAGAUGAGCCUAGGUCGGAUUAGCUAGUGGGUGGGGUAAAGGCCUACCAAGGCGACGAUCCGUAACUGGUCUGAGAGGAUGAUCAGUCACACUGGAACUGAGACACGGUCCAGACUCCUACGGGAGGCAGCAGUCGGGAAUAUUGGACAAUGGGCGAAAGCCUGAUCCAGCCAUGCCGCGUGUGUGAAGAAGGUCUUCGGAUUGUAAAGCACUUUAAGUUGGGAGGAAGGGCAGUAAGUUAAUACCUUGCUGUUUUGACGUUACCAACAGAAUAAGCACCGGCUAACUUCGUG
rnacentral:rRNA from 1 species